rnacentral:lncRNA from 1 species
AGGAAUAACUAAAUAUUACUAAGGAUUCAGAAGCAAACCAAGCAUUCCGCAGCUGGCAGAUGCACGGAGAACAGAAACUUGGAAGGCGUUGGACUCAGGCUAGGAGUGAAUGUUUGAGCACACUUGUCCUGAGUCUGUCCCUGAUCUCCCCUUCAUAAUGAAGGAAGUCCCGCCUUCCCAUCUGCAGACACUAACUUUCUUUUGCUUGAAACUCUGAUACAACCACAUAUGAGCAGUGGCCUCGAAAGGGGUGUCUCCAUUUCUCAUAAACUCCAGGAUUCCCGUCUCUUUCAGAGGGAAAGGGGCAGAAAGGGAUGGAGACAUCUCAGAAGCCUGUGGCAGCUCCUUGUGAAAAAGGAUGGUGCCUGGGAACCUGAGAAGGAGUAGUUACAUCCCUCCAGGGGACCUGCCACCUGAAAUAAGGGACUGCCUGCAGUAGGCCAGGGUGGAGACAUGUCAGUAGCUCACAGCUGUCUUUUGUAGACAACAGUUGUUCCCAUUUCUCCUAAUCUUAGCCUUGGACAACAGUUGUAUAGAAUUCAUCUGCUCGUGACUGCUUUUCGGUUGGCCUUGGUCUGCAUAAUUAUUCUAUUAUAUCUGACUUUCCUACUCCUUUCUCCUGCUCUGGUGAAUUCUGUGAAACUCGAUGUUCCUAGAUGCAAUGAUUCUUACACAAUUAAAAAUUGAGGCUUGGGGCACAGCACAGCACAGUCCUAAUGACCCAGGUGCCUGCUGUGUGUUCUCAUCUUGGAAACAAUGUAACAACUGCACAAUGGGAGUUCCAGAUUAAUGCUUGACUUGCAAAGAAAGUUUGAAGAAAUUAUUAGAAAAUGAAUUAGAGCCAACAUUGGAAACCCAAGGAAGGCAAAGCUGUUGAAGUUAUGAAAUAAGUUUUGCACAACAUUUGAGAGUGGUUCCUGGAUAAGCAAUUGUAGAAUGCAUAUAAUUCUAUACUAGUAAAACUAAGUCAAAACACUGAGACUCUUAGGAGAGUCGUUGUGUGCAAUGUGCAGAAGCAGAAAGCUAGCAGAACUGCUGAGUUAAGGGUUAAGGGUUGAUUCUUUCUGGCCACUGCCUGCCAGCUUUGCCCACGUCAUUUAUCAUUAGAGCUUCACAAGAAAACACACGUAGCUGACCUCGGACCUCUGAGCUCUGAAGUAUAAGUUAAAAAAAAUUAAAGUUUAAAUAGUGAUGACUUUGCAAUUAUUAUUUUGGCCACAAGCCUGGAAAUAGGGGUAAGCUUGAAACUUUGGGGAACAACUG